GAAAAUCAAGGCUGAGGCGUGAUGACGAGGCACUACGGUGCUGAAGCAACAAAUGCCCUGCUUCCAGGAAAAGCCUCUAAGCAUCAGGUAACAUCAAAUCGUACCCCAAACCGACACAGGUGGUCAGGUAGAGAAUACCAAGGCGCUUGAGAGAACUCGGGUGAAGGAACUAGGCAAAAUGGUGCCGUAACUUCGGGAGAAGGCACGCUGAUAUGUAGGUGAAGUCCCUCGCGGAUGGAGCUGAAAUCAGUCGAAGAUACCAGCUGGCUGCAACUGUUUAUUAAAAACACAGCACUGUGCAAACACGAAAGUGGACGUAUACGGUGUGACGCCUGCCCGGUGCCGGAAGGUUAAUUGAUGGGGUCAGCGCAAGCGAAGCUCUUGAUCGAAGCCCCGGUAAACGGCGGCCGUAACUAUAACGGUCCUAAGGUAGCGAAAUUCCUUGUCGGGUAAGUUCCGACCUGCACGAAUGGCGUAAUGAUGGCCAGGCUGUCUCCACCCGAGACUCAGUGAAAUUGAACUCGCUGUGAAGAUGCAGUGUACCCGCGGCAAGACGGAAAGACCCCGUGAACCUUUACUAUAGCUUGACACUGAACAUUGAGCCUUGAUGUGUAGGAUAGGUGGGAGGCUUAGAAGUGUGGACGCCAGUCUGCAUGGAGCCGACCUUGAAAUACCACCCUUUAAUGUUUGAUGUUCUAACGUUGACCCGUAAUCCGGGUUGCGGACAGUGUCUGGUGGGUAGUUUGACUGGGGCGGUCUCCUCCUAAAGAGUAACGGAGGAGCACGAAGGUUGGCUAAUCCUGGUCGGACAUCAGGAGGUUAGUGCAAUGGCAUAAGCCAGCUUGACUGCGAGCGUGACGGCGCGAGCAGGUGCGAAAGCAGGUCAUAGUGAUCCGGUGGUUCUGAAUGGAAGGGCCAUCGCUCAACGGAUAAAAGGUACUCCGGGGAUAACAGGCUGAUACCGCCCAAGAGUUCAUAUCGACGGCGGUGUUUGGCACCUCGAUGUCGGCUCAUCACAUCCUGGGGCUGAAGUAGGUCCCAAGGGUAUGGCUGUUCGCCAUUUAAAGUGGUACGCGAGCUGGGUUUAGAACGUCGUGAGACAGUUCGGUCCCUAUCUGCCGUGGGCGCUGGAGAACUGAGGGGGGCUGCUCCUAGUACGAGAGGACCGGAGUGGACGCAUCACUGGUGUUCGGGUUGUCAUGCCAAUGGCACUGCCCGGUAGCUAAAUGCGGAAGAGAUAAGUGCUGAAAGCAUCUAAGCACGAAACUUGCCCCGAGAUGAGUUCUCCCUGACUCCUUGAGAGUCCUGAAGGAACGUUGAAGACGACGACGUUGAUAGGCCGGGUGUGUAAGCGCAGCGAUGCGUUGAGCUAACCGGUACUAAUGAACCGUGAGGCUUAACCUUACAACGCCGAAG
rnacentral:rRNA from 1 species